AAGUACCAAGGUGAUUUUCAGUGCAGCAACAGGAGGAGGAAGAAACAACAUCGGACCGUUCAACACAGUCACAACUUUAAUCUACAGAACAGUGAUAUCAAACAUUGGUAAUGCCUACAGUCCAUCCACAGGUAUCUUCGUUGCACCUGUUGCAGGUGUUUAUUACUUCACCUUCUUCUAUCAUGCUAUUGGAACAAAUCGGGCAAAUCUG